rnacentral:tRNA from 1 species
UAGGGAGAUAGGAAUUGAACCU